UAACUUUUGGUGUAAGGCACAUUAAAUUUUGAUUUUAAAGGUAACAAAUCAUAUUUGUUAAAGUUAA
rnacentral:tRNA from 1 species